CUGAAUAGAUUUCACUAUGCAUGGAUUCUGUUCUCUCUCUCUCUCUCUCUCUCUCUGUGUGUGUGUGUGUGUGUGAGAGAGAGAGAGAGAGAGAGAGAGAAUUAUCUUUGCAUGAUGAGUGGGUAAA